rnacentral:rRNA from 1 species
GACAGAGGGGGCAAGCGUUGCUCGGAAUUACUGGGCGUAAAGGGCGCGUAGGCGGGAUGGCAAGUCGGUCGUGAAAUCCCUCGGCUCAACUGAGGAACGUCGAUCGAUACUGCUGUUCUUGAGGAUUGCAGAGGAGACUGGAAUUCCCGGUGUAGCGGUGAAAUGUGUAGAGAUCGGGAGGAACACCGGUGGCGAAGGCGGGUCUCUGGGCAAUUCCUGACGCUGAGGCGCGAAAGCGUGGGGAGCAAACGGG